AUUGAACGCUGGCUGCAGGCCUAACACAUGCAAGUCGAGCGGAGCGGCGAACGGGUUAGUAAUGCCUAGGAAUCUGCCUGUUCGUGGGGGAUACCGUCCGUCAACGUGCGCUACUACCGCAUACUAUCAUAUCAGCCUAGGUCGUCUGAGCUAGUUGGUGGGGUAACGGCCUACCAAGGCGACGAUCCGUAACUGGCCUGAGAGGAUGAUCAGUCACACUGGAACGUAGACACGGUCAAGACUCCUACGGGAGGCAGCAGUGGGGAAUAUGGGACAAUGGGCGAAAGCCUGAUCCAGCCAUGCCGCGUGUGUGAAGAAGGUCUUCGGAUUGUAAAGCACUGGAAGUUGAGAGGCAUUACCAACAGAAUAAGCAACGGCUAACUUCGUGCCAGCAGCCGCGGGAAUUC
rnacentral:rRNA from 1 species